rnacentral:rRNA from 1 species
GAUGAACGCUGGCGGCGUGCCUAAUACAUGCAAGUCGAGCGAACGGACGAGAAGCUUGCUUUUCUGAUGUUAGCGGCGGACGGGUGAGUAACACGUGGAUAACCUACCUAUAAGACUGGGAUAACUUCGGGAAACCGGAGCUAAUACCGGAUAAUAUUUUGAACCGCAUGGUUCAAAAGUGAAAGACGGUCUUGCUGUCACUUAUAGAUGGAUCCGCGCUGCAUUAGCUAGUUGGUAAGGUAACGGCUUACCAAGGCAACGAUGCAUAGCCGACCCGAGAGGGUGAUCGGCCACACUGGAACUGAGACACGGUCCAGACUCCUACGGGGGGCAGCAGUAGGGAAUCUUCCGCAAUGGGCGAAAGCCUGACGGAGCAACGCCGCGUGAGUGAUGAAGGUCUUCGGAUCGUAAAACUCUGUUAUUAGGGAAGAACAUAUGUGUAAGUAACUGUGCACAUCUUGACGGUACCUAAUCAGAAAGCCACGGCUAACUACGUG